AAAGGUAAGCCGGAGAGGGUGACAGCCCCGUACGAGUAGAAAAGCUGACUGUUCUUGAGUAAGGCGGAGCACGAGAAAUUCUGUCUGAAAAUGGGGAGACCACUCUCCAAGGCUAAGUACUACUGAUUGACCGAUAGUGAACAAGUACCGUGAGGGAAAGGUGAAAAGCACCCCUAUAAGGGGAGUGAAAGAGAACCUGAAACCGGAUGCCUACAAGCAGUCGGAGGGUCAUAAGGCCUGACGGCGUACCUUUUGUAUAAUGGGUCAGCGACUUAAUUUAUGUAGCAAGCUUAAGCCGAUAGGUGUAGGCGUAGAGAAAUCGAGUGUUAACAGCGCGUUAAGUUACAUGAAUUAGACCCGAAACCGAGUGAUCUAGCCAUGAUCAGGUUGAAGGUUGGGUAACACCAACUGGAGGACCGAACCCACUCCCGUUGAAAAGGUAGGGGAUGAAUUGUGGCUAGGGGUGAAAGGCCAAUCAAACUCGGAAAUAGCUGGUUCUCCGCGAAAACUAUUUAGGUAGUGCGGUGAGCGGACACCUUGAGGGGUAGAGCACUGGAAGAGCUAAGGGGGAGCGAUCCUUACUAAACUUUACCAAACUCCGAAUACUCAAGAGUGAUACUCACCAGACAGACAUUAGGUGCUAAGGUCUAGUGUCGAGAGGGAAAGAGCCCAGACCGCCAAUUAAGGUCCCAAAAUUAUGGCUAAGUGGUAAAGGAAGUGAAACGUCCAAAACAGUCAGGAGGUUGGCUUAGAAGCAGCCAUCCUUUAAAGAAAGCGUAAUAGCUCACUGAUCUAAAUAAGACGUCUUGCGCCGAAGAUGUAACGGGGCUAAAGCCAUAUACCGAAGUUGCGGAUUUACACGUUAAAGUGUAAGUGGUAGCGGAGCGUUCUGUAAGCCUGCGAAGGUGUACCGUAAGGUAUGCUGGAGGUAUCAGAAGUGAGAAUGCUGACAUGAGUAGCGAAAAGAAGAGUGAGAGACUCUUCCGCUGAAAGUCCAAGGUUUCCUGCGUAAAGCUAAUCUGCGCAGGGUUAGUCGGUCCCUAAGGCGAGGCAGAGAUGCGUAGUCGAUGGCAAUCAGGUUAAUAUUCCUGAACCGGCCCGGAAGUGACGGAUUGAGUAAAUUGUAAGUUCUUAUUGGAUUGAGCUUGCAGUGAAUCAGUCCCAGGAAAUAGCCCGGGCUAAGACCGUACCCGAAACCGACACAGGUGGACAGGUAGAGAAUACCAAAGCGCUUGAGAGAACUAUGUUGAAGGAACUAGGCAAAAUACUUGCGUAACUUCGGGAUAAGCAAGCCCCAUUUUAAGGCAACUUAGGGUGGGGGGCACAUACUAGGGGGUAGCGACUGUUUACUAAAAACACAGGGCUCUGCUAAAUUGAAAGAUGAAGUAUAGGGUCUGACGCCUGCCCGGUGCUGGAAGGUUAAGGAGAGAUGUGCAAGCAUUGAACUGAAGCCCCAGUAAACGGCGGCCGUAACUAUAACGGUCCUAAGGUAGCGAAAUUCCUUGUCGGGUAAGUUCCGACCUGCACGAAUGGCGUAACGACUUCCCCGCUGUCUCCAACAUAGGCUCAGCGAAAUUGAACUCUGAGUUAAGAUGCUCAGUACCCGCGGUUAGACGGAGAGACCCCGUGAACCUUUACUAUAGCUUUGCAGUGGUAUUAGGUAACAAAUGUGUAGAAUAGGUGGGAUGCUAUGAAGCUACGACGCCAGUUGUAGUGGAGCAGACUUUGAAAUACCACCCUUUUGUUGUUUGAUAUCUAACCUGCUCCCGUUAUCCGGGAGAGGGACCCUGCAUGGUGGGUAGUUUGACUGGGGCGGUCGCCUCCCAAAGAGUAACGGAGGCGCGCAAAGGUUGGCUCAGAUUGGUCAGAAAUCAAUCGUUGAGUGCAAUGGCAUAAGCCAGCCUGACUGCGAGAGCGACGGUUCGAGCAGAUACGAAAGUAGGUCAUAGUGAUCCGGUGGUCCCGAGUGGAAGGGCCAUCGCUCAACGGAUAAAAGGUACUCCGGGGA
rnacentral:rRNA from 1 species